rnacentral:rRNA from 1 species
AUUGAACGCUGGCGGCAGGCCUAACACAUGCAAGUCGAGCGAGGGACGGGCGGGUGAGUAAUGGGUGGGUAUCUGCCCGAUAGAGGUGGAUAACUACUGGAGACGGUAGCUAAUACCGCAUACUAUCGGAUGAACCCCGAUGGGAUUAGCUGGUAGGUGAGGGAAUGGCCCACCUAGGCGACGAUCCCUGACUGGUCUGAGAGGAUGAUCAGCCACACUGGGACUGAGACACGGCCCAGACUCCUACGGGAGGCAGCAGUGGGGAAUAUUGCACAAUGGGCGCAAGCCUGAUGCAGCCAUGCCGCGUGUGUGAAGAAGGCCCUAGGGUUGUAAAGCACUUUCAGUAGGGAGGCGUUACCGACAGAAGAAGCACCGGCUAACUUCGUGCCAGCCGCCGCGGUAAUAC